UAUAAAAGCCUGAAUUCUUGUUGUUCUUCAUCUGUACAGCACAUAGCACAACAUAGGUUGGAACCAGGACUUGGGCUACUAAGCAGUGCUGCAAAGAAAUUAUUAUUAUGACAUGACAGCAGCUACUGAAAAUAGUUGACUGCCUUUGGAGAGAGGAAUUACCCUGAAAUAGGAAUUUAGAAUUUGGACUGGAGUGAGGAUGAAAUAUGAUGCAAUUCUGACCUGCCAUGAGAGAACAUUUUGGUCGAAGACAUGGAUUGCAACAUAUAUCUAUGAGGAAUACAGACAUCUGUCUUUGAAUAUUUUACUCCUACCACAUGAUGGACAGAACAACUUAUUAUCCCAAUCCUCAUGUCCUGUUACAGGGACCUAAAAAUAAAGUGCACUUCUUACCUGGAUUUACAUCUAUCACCUCUUUAUUACA